rnacentral:misc_RNA from 1 species
UGCCAAAUUGUUUUGAUUAAUGUCAAAUUUCAGUUCAUUCAUAUGUACAUUGGCAUUCUGUUCCUCACAUUUUACGCCGCGCGCAGACUUUUCACCCCACAAGCUUAGAUCAAUAAUAGCGGCGAGAAUUACUUUAACCUAGAAAGAGGAAGUAUUCCAUUAAACGAAAACAAGACAGUGAAUUGGUGACUUCCAAAGGUUCUCAAAAGGAAUUUUUUAAAAUGCCUGAUCCGUGCCCAGCUGAUAAGAAAAACUGCUGCCAAACAUCUUGCAAAUGCGACUCAGGCUGUAAGUGCGGCAAGGAAUGCCCUUGCGACCAAGGUUCUGCUAAAUCUUCAGCCGAUAGUAACAAAAAAUAGAAAAAAUUCAAGCGCCUCAAGUUAAUUUACAGACCAUAUGUAAAGCUUUUUUAUUUGAGUUAUGCAUUAAAUUGUAUUAAAAAAUA